UGUAUUGGUCGCGGUUGACCUUCCACCCACCUCUAACCCAGGAGAUGGGUGAUAGAUCGUCCCUAAAGCCAAUCAGAAGUGCUGCUGGGAGGCCGGGGAGAGAGCCGUGGAGAGCUUAGACGUCUCUCUCGGUAGCCUGGCGUGGAGACGCUCUAGUUGUAGCUGUUGGAUACGGGGUACCCGGCGCCGGGUUGUCCUCUCUCCCAAGACAGGGAAGAGACUAGACAACAGACUCUACAGUGCCUGGUUCCUCCGAUGGAGCGCAGAGCCUUGUGCACACUGAGCAAGUGCUCUACCCCCGAGCUACACCUUCAGACUCCUGACCGUACUUCCCGCUCAGCAGAGAGCCUUUCCCCAGUUCUGAAGCUGGGCUCCUGUCCCGUCCCAGGAAGCCAGCCCCUAGAAUGGCACCAAGCACCUGUAUGAAGAAGGACCCCAGAUGAUAAUUCACAUGUCCCUCCUUGUUCUCUCCUGCAUGCCACGCGGCUACCCUUGUCUAUCCAGAGUCCCCAAGGAUGCUAAACACACUGAAGGAGGCACAUGGAGUCACGGUCUCUGUCCCCAGGAAGCUGCAGACGGCUUCAGUGGCAUCCGAUCGAAAGGUUCACAAGGCCCAACAAUGUUCUUGGCCUACAGUCCAGAAGCAUGUCCUAACAGCCUUUGUCCAAGGGCGGCCUUGGGCUCCAUCCCGGGUCACACUCCCUCCUAUGGCCCAAGUUUGACAGGACAAGUCUUCAAACCGUUACAGCCACCUCAGCCUUCCGAGGACGCUCACUUUCGCCUUAAGGAUCUCUCCACAGCCUCGGCCUCUCCUGCUUCCACCUCUGGUUUCCUCUUUUUUCAUCCUCUCUCCGCCGAUGGGGAAGAAUUUCCCAGACAGCCCUGAUGCCCCAAGACACAAACCCCGACAGUGGCUUGAAUGGGAAACUCUCGGUCUGAGUGAACCUUGGUUCUUUUUUUCCAUCCUUGUUUCCUCCAUGAUGUCUGUGGUCUCAGCCACUCAGUCUUCCAGAAACGCCGAAAGCGGACUCCCUCUUAUGUUCUUGCCGCCCACACUCGGCAUCCCAUUGCACCCAUACAGCCACCAACCGCCCUUGCUGCAAACCCGGGGGGAUGCCACUCCUGUCUGUCCCUUGCCCUGACUCCCCAACUCCCUCUACCCUUGGCCUUCCUGCCCAGGUCAAUGGCUGCUGGCCAACUGUCACAGAAUCUCCCAGCAAGGACAUUCCAGCCAUCCCUUCCAUAGGGUUCUCCCUUCUUGCCCGGUCCUUCCCUUUUGCUAACCCUCCUGGGUGAGGUGUCCACAACCUCCAGAAGAAAGGGCAGGAGGAGGUGAUCUUUGGGCAGGUGUUUGUCCCCUGCAGCUUUCGACUGUUGCCGCCAGAGGGCACCCAAGGCAUUUCAGAAGCCCCAGACCUGGUGCUUUGACCUGACAGAAGCAGGAAGCCCAGGUAACCUGAUGGCUAUCUACCUGAUGGCCUACUAUUGGCCAUCCUAGGCCCUAGGCUUCAGCUCCAGGCUGAGUACUCGGAUUCCUAUAAAGAAACUCCAGAAAAAGAGCCAGCCGUUUGCCUCCUCCAGAGAGCACAUUCCAACUCUCCAGCCUCUCAGCAUCCCAGAGAACACCAUUCACCUCCGACUCCUACAGUUCAGCUCCUCUGGCCCUCCUAACCAUGACCACCUCUCCGAGGAGCUACCAGCCUUCCCACAGCAGACUGGGCCCACCCCCAAGAUGGUAAAGCCUUCAGAACAAGCAUGGCCUCUCCCUCGGCCCCUUCCCCUUGGAGCUCUGGACCCUCUCUGUAAAGCCACAAUGAAAUAGACUCUUGAGGGGGUCCCCUGAGACUCUGGAGUGUGGGGAGUGGAAGGGUCAUAGAGGCCAGGGGUCAUAGAGGCCUGCUUCACCUGGAAGUAGGACCCAGCUGGCAGAGACUCGGGAGGCAGGCGAUGGUGGCGAUAACAAUAAUCAUAUUAAUAAUACCAUCGGGGCCACAAAACGGCCGUGAAAUACCCCCUAAUGAUCCCUUGUAUUUAUAGAUCUCCUUCUCUUCAGAGCCAUUGCCCAAUUAACCCUCCCAGCUUCCCUAGGAGGGACAAUUAACCCCAUAUUUUAUGACCAGGGGAAACCGAGGCCCUGAGAAGGUGCCGGAGUUGGCUGAGGUCACAGUAAACUGGCGAUAGCAUAAUUUGUAGAACAGCACUCCUGUCCUUUUCUCUGUGCCCAGACCCACACAUGUACGUACACAUUUCACUAUCCCAGCUCUGCCUAGCCAUGGCCUUGUGCUGGGGGGCAAGACUCAGGACUCGGGCAAAGGCUGGCUGCCCGCAGUGCUAAGGAGAGAGGCCUUGGGUAAAGAGGGCUCAGCCAGGGACAGCGAAAGCUCCGGAGUCGUGCUCAUGUCUGACGGGGCCUGGCUCCCCGUGUUUCAUGGCCCUAGUCAGGAAUGUCAAGAAAAGAGUCUCAGGAUUCCCCCUCCCCCAACAGCAUCUCCCUACAAAAAAAAAAAAGGCACAGGGCAUGCCUGUUCCGUGUGCAUGUGUGUGUGUACCUAUGUGGUGAUAAGAAGUUGACUUCCUAGGUCGUUCUCCACCACAGUUCUUGACACAGUCUCUCGCUGUCUGCAGAACCUGGAGAUCCAGCUAGACUGAGCUCAGGUCCUCAUGCUUGGCCCAGAACCUAACAGAGCCAGACCCCAGACCCCAGAGCUCAGUCCUUAGAGCAGCUGUAGCCCUGGACAGUUAACCUCUUCCAUGCCGCAGUACUAGAAGACAGCAGGGCAGUUCCUAGCAAGGGGAGAGAGACAGGGAAGGCCUUAGGGAGAAGGUGGGGGGAGCAAGAAGACUUCUUUAGGGGACUGGAGAGAUGGCUCAGCGCUUAAGAGCACUGGUUGCUUUUCCAGAGGUCCUUAGUUCAAUUCCCAGCAGCCACAUGGCGGCUCCCAGCCAUCUGUAACUCACCCAUGUGGUACACAGGUCCAUAUGCAGGCAGGCCACCAAUAUACAUAAUAUAAACACAUUA